AGCAGCCGCGGUAAUUCCAGCUCCAAUAGCGUAUAUUAAAGUUGUUGCAGUUAAAAAGCUCGUAGUUGAAUUUCGGGGUUCUACCGUUGGUCGGGCUAUCCGGUCUGUACUGAUGUGUAGAAUUUCUACCUUCUGGGGAACCGUCAUGUUAUUAAUUUAGCGUGGUGGGAAACCAGGACCUUUACCUUGAAAAAAUUAGAGUGUUCAAAGCAGGCUUACGUCUGAAUACAUUAGCAUGGAAUAUAAAAUAGGACGGUGGUCCUGUUUUGUUGGUUUCUGAAUCACCGUAAUGAUUAAUAGGGAUAGUUGGGGGCAUUAGUAUUCAAUUGUCAGAGGUGAAAUUCUUGGAUUUAUUGAAGACUAACUUCUGCGAAAGCAUUUGCCAAGGAUGUUCCAUUAAUCAAGACGAAAGUUAGGGGAUCGAAGACGAUCAGAUACCGUCGUAGUCUUAACCAUAAACCUAUGCCGACUAGGGAUCGGACGAUGUUAACUUUAUGACUCGUUCGGCGCCUUACGGGAA
rnacentral:rRNA from 1 species